CAGAUCUGGUGAUCAUAAACAGCAGAGAGGAACAGAUGUUCCUCACUGACCAAAAGAAAGAGAGGAAUUUCUGGAUUGGUCUGACUGAUGAAGAGACAGAAAACACAUGGAAGUGGGUGGAUGGCCAACUGCUGACCGACAAAUUCUGGAGGAGCGGUGAACCCAACAAUGGUCAUGGUGGUGGUGAGGAGGACUGUGCUAUUUUCACCACUACAGUCAAAGACAGUCAGCGAACAUGGAACGAUCUUUCCUGCUCAGGGAGAGAAAACUGGAUGUGUGAAUUCAAUCUGACCAACUUCCACCUAAAUACUUCAACACUUUUAGAUUUUCACUGCUAAUCUUGGGAUAAAGGCAUAAUCAGAGGCUUUAGAAGCUGUUGAACUGAAAUUUAGAGAUUACAGGGCUUGAGCAUGUUACUUUAACACAAUUUAUACAUUUAGUUCUGAAUAAGAACCAACAGAUGUUAUACAGAAUAUACAAAUGUAUGUGAUUCAUUAUUUCAUAUUUUUAUUGUUAGUUGUUUAUAUUGCUUUUGAAAAUCAAAUGAUAUUUAUUACACAGUAUAGACGAUGUACUUAAAUGUAUCCGUUACAGUUGAAAGACAUUACAAUGUGCAAAGACAAUUUUAUUAUCAGUUGUAGAGUUUCUGCUGUUUUUAUCA